GUUCUGGAGUGGGAGGACUAGGGAGGUGCCUGGAGUCUUGCUCUCUGCCCUAUAGGCUCCCUGAUCUGCUCAUCUGGUGGCAUCAGCCCUCUAAACAAAUCUCCUAGAGUUUGAGGAGACCCAGUCUGUAGGGGCUACGAGGUUUUGGCUUCCUUGGGAACUCGUGACAGGCUAAGGAGAGCUUUUUGGUGGGAAGAAGUCCCAUCCUUUGACAUAUGCUAGUGAACAAGGUCACUCUUCUCACAUGAUCUGAAGUGGCCAUUAUUGUUGCCACCUAGAGAUAAUCCCUGGGUUUGCGGAUUCUGGUGACUUCCAUCACUUUCCCAGUUCAUCUUUACUUACGUUGAAAUAGCAUCAGUCUGGGACGUUGAUCCCCAUGCAGGGGAGGCAGGGCCUGCUUCAUCCUGGCAUGACCCGAAGCCCUAGGAGGACCACCCUGACAGCAUUCAUUCCUGCGGAUCAUCUGCUUUCUUCUGCCCCCCAAAUACCUCAGAGGAGGUAAGAGACUCCUGGAACGGAGAUGGGCAGUAACAUAUCACCAAGUGCUCUCUCAUCAGCAGCUCAGAAGAAAAAUAUGGCCUCCUAGAGCAGAGGGACAGACUUCUUCGAGAAGAUCAAAAAAGGACAAAGCUGGACAAAGCUGGAAUUCUUACAGGGACAUGCCCAGACAUGUGUCCGGAGAAGGAGCGCUACCUGAGGGAGAUCCAGGGCCAGCUCAGCCCCUUCGAGAUGCUCCCAGGAACAGACAAGGUGGACCACACAGCAGCAAUUAAAGAAUACAUCAGGUCCUCUGCUGGUCUGGAGGAGGUUCUGCCCCAUGAACUCAGGCCCUUGGCUGUGCUGAGCAUGACCAUGGACUAUAUCAUCACCCAUAUCAUGGACCAAGGGAAGAGGAAUUACCAGGACUGGUACAGCUUUGUGUGGAAUAGGACCCAUGGGAUAAGGAAGGACAUUAUCUACCAACAUCUCCAUGACCCUCAGACGGUGUCCCUGAUGGAGAAAUGUGCUCGUUUCCACAUUCAUUGUGCCCACCAGCUGUGUGAGGAGCCCAUCUCCACCUUCGAUGCUCUCAUCAACAAGGAUCAAAUAACCAAAUGCCUUCUCACCCUGAAGGAGAUGUAUCUGGAUCUGGCCAGUGAGGGCACAUCAUGCAGGAGGGAAGCUGAGUUUCAAGCCUAUGCCAUCCUGCUCUCCCUCCACCAAGAGGAGGUACUCAGACAAGUACAACAGCUCCAGCCCAACAUCCGUAACUCUGCUGAGGUCAAGUUUGCCAUUCGAGCCUUCACAGCCUUAAACAGCAACAACUAUGUGAGAUUCUUCAAACUGGUCCAAACGGCUUCUUACCUGAACGCGUGCCUGUUACACUGCUACUUCAGCCAGGCUCGAGGGAAGGCCCUGAGGGCUGUGACUGCCACCCACACUGUGAGUGCCCAGAAGACAACAGGUUUCCCCCUGAACCUCAUAGUUCGUUGGCUGCUUUUCAAUGACUCCAGGGAGGCUGUGAGCUUCAUGUACCAUUAUGGCCUGCAUGUCUCUGAGGGCUAUGUUGAACUGAAUCGGCGGGCCCUCCGGGAACCAAAGCAACCCUUCAAGCCCAAGAGAUCCAGAUUCAUUUUAGGAAAACUGAAGACCUCGGUGGGAGAAGUGGUGAAUGGGGAACCCCUGCCCUUAGUGCCUAAGCAUAUCCCUGAGAACAGCUUUAGCCCUCGAGGCAAAUACAUUGGAGACAGAGCUGAGAUGGUCAUUGCCAGCUGCUGGAACAACAUCCAGGUGGACAUGGCAGUUUCACCAUCUGGGCGAAGAACAGAGAAGAGGUUCCUGGAUCCUCAGCAGUCUGAGUCAGCAGCCUCCUCUUCCUUCUUUCCCUUCAUAGACCUGGAGCUUCCCACCAUAAAGCGGCGGCAUGGCUUCCCAAGGCUGGGUCAAAACGAAAAGAUAAAGGGAAGCAUCCGACAAUAUGAAGAAGAAUGGAAAAUCGAAAACAGAGGUCCAAAAGAAUUUGGUUGGAAAGGAGAAGAUGAAAAUUGGAAGGAUGAUUAUGAAAGAAGAUGGCUUAAAAUGCAAGAAUGGGAAGGAGAGUACAGCGAGAGAUGGAAAGGACAAAAUGGAAAUAUAAGAAAAGAUCAGGGAAAGGAAGACAAAGAUGGAUGUUAUAAACAAAGUGGAAGAAUGAAAUAUGGGAGGGGCUACAUCCAAGAAAACAGGAAACGAGAACAGGGAAAUGAAAAAGAAGAAAGAGCUUGGAAUAGAGAAUAUAAAUAUGAGAGAAUAUGGAAAGUUCUAGAUGAGGCACCAAAUGAUAGCAUAUGCCUGAAAAGGCAUACUAGGGAGAUCAAAGGAGUAAGAAAGAUGGAACGAUGCUAUCAGGUACAAUUGGAAGUAGCUGAGAGGAGAAAAGUUAUAGGACAAAACCAGGGAAGGAAAAUUGGAAGACACCAAGAAAGAAGAGAAUACCACCAAGAACAAGAACAAAUAAACCAAAAACAAGAAAAAGAAAACUCUUAUGAGAGAAGAUCUCAAAGAGAUCAGGGAAGAGUACAUAGAGAAAUGUUAGAAGAAGACUCUGGAGACAACAUUUGGGGAAGAAAAGAGGCAGUAGAGGAGGUAGAAAAAUGGUGGUGGAAUUAUAGAGAGGUGGAAAAGGAGGAAAGGAAACAGAAGGACAUGGAAGAGGAGAAUGAAAAACCAGAAAGACAAGGCCUGAAAAGAAAAAGCAGGGACAGGGAAUACAAAUAUUAUAGAGAAAGGAAUGGGGAAAGAGAGUUCAAUUGGGAAAGAGGUCAUGAAGGCAGAAAAACAAAAGAAGGGAGUGAGAAAGGACACAGUCACAAAAAAGGCCAGAACACUCACUGGGUGACAAAGAAAUAUAGAGAAGGGAAGAAAAAUGAUAACUGGGAAAGAGAAUAUAGAGAAAAACAAGGAAGAACAGAGGAGAGGAGAGAAGGACAAUGGGGAGUCAAAAAAGAGGAAGAAAAGAAAGAAAGGAAAGCCAGAAGACCCAACUUUGGAGGAAAAAAGGAUGAAAGACACGUUAGAGAAGAAGACAGAGAAAAUGAGUGGUACUGGAAUAGAAAAGAGGUAGUAGGAAUGGGGAGAAAUGAAUUGGAGAGGAAAGAAAUGAGAAAGAAAAUGGAAAUAGAAAAUUCUAAACAGCCAGAUAUUUGGGAGAGAGAAAGGAUAAAAUGCUUGAAUGAAGAAAGGGUAUAUUGGGAAAGACAAAGUCUCCCAAGAGAAGGCCAGAAACAAGAUGAUCAGAGAGGAGAAGAUGCUCAAGGAUUGAAUGAAGCAACUUCAGGAGAUGAUUACUUAAGAAGCCUGGACGAAGAUUGGACAUGGAUAUUAGACAGGAAAAAUGGGAAAAUCAAGUAUCAAAGGGACCAUGAGCAAGGGGAAAAUGAAACAAAAAGGCGGAAAAGAGAAGUAUGGGGAAGCAACUAUGAAAAAGAAUGGGGAGUUGAAGAUGAAGAAUUGAUGGAUGACAACUUGGAAGUAAAAUAUGGUGAGAGAUGGAUUAGUGAUCUCAGUGAAAAAUUCUGGCCAAGAGAAUACCAUCAAGACCAGGAGGAUAACGUUAGAAGAAAAUGGACUGAGUCAGCUAGAGAAAUAAUAUUUGGAGAAGAACAGGAAAAUGAAAAUAGACAAAAAUUAAGUAAAAAAUCAUACAGAGAGGAAGAUCUGGAAGGAGAAAAGACCAAAAAUAAAUAUCUCAGGAGAGAAGGAAGAGUGGAAGAGAAUGAAUGGGAACAAGAAUACAGAAGAGAAAAGACAAUAGACCACAGGAAUAACAGAGAAAAAGUAGAGGAGCAAGAAUGGACAGGGAAAGAUGAAGGAAAAGAAGAUGGACUUACCAAAAAAGAAGGCCUGCAGUUGAAAAUCCCAUUAAAAUAUUUAAAUGUCUGGAAAGGAGAAAAUCAAGAAGGGUUGGAAGAUGGAAGCAGAUUCAGAUGGGGAGGACAAAUGUGGAAGAGGAAUGACAGAAGAGAGAACUAUGAAGAUGAAGUAAAGACAACAGUCUGGGGUAAAGGACAUGAGAAAAGUCUCCAGGAGGCAAACAAAGGAGUACCUCAGAGAAUGGAAUGCAAUGGGAAUGCUACAGUAUACCCCAGCAGAGAGCAGUCAGAACAAAAACAAGGGAAAGAGAAAGGAAGACCUAGAGAAGUAGCAAAAAGAAAAUGUGAAAGGAUGUGGGAAACUGGAGAUCUAGAAGGACUAGACAAGGAAAUUAGGGGAGGGAGAUGUAAAGAAAGUCAGGGAGGGGACCAUGGAUCUGGACCCAGUGAGGAAGACCUGGAUAGUGAACAUGGAACCCAAAGAAAUGGAGAAGAGUUGAGGGACAAUGGAUGGGGAAGGGAAUAUAGAGAAGAGAAAGGUCAAGCUCAAAAAGAUAAAAAUACUUUAGGAAUAAAAGAAAAAGAUCAGGCAAGGGGGAUCAAGGGAAUCUCAGAAGGGCAAAGCGCAAUCUCAGAAGCCACUUUGGAAGAGACAGAUGAAAUUAAACAGGAGUUGGAUGGUCAGGAACAGAAUCUAAGAGACCAAGGGAAAAGAAAGAGAAGUCAGACUAGAGAAGAAUGGGAAGCUGAGCAUGGAGGAGAAGUUAAAGGAGAAAUUGGGAGCAAACACUAUGAAGGAAGACAGGAAGAACAACCCCAGAGAGAGAAUUGGGAAAUAAAAUUUAGAAGUGGCAAGGAGAGAGAACAUGUCCAAAACCAGAAAGAAUCCCACUUGGAAGGAGAUUUUGGAAAAAGGUUUGAAAAAGAAGAUGGAAGAACCCUGGAUGUGUACAAGAUAAUGAGUGACACAAGAAACACAUCUGAAUAUGUUUGGGAAGAAGAAGGAUGGAAAAGAAAUGAGAAGACAUAUACAAAAGAAGAGCGAGGGGGAAAUGGUUGGGAAACAUUAUAUGGAAGAGAACUAGGAUCAGAAGUCUGGGCGAGAGAGUAUGAAGAAACCCUUAAAUCCCUAAGGGGAGACAGAAGAGAAAUGAAAGAAAGAGAAUGUGGGUUAAAACAGGAAGACAUUCUAGACAGGCAUGGGGGAAGUACAUGGAACAUAAUUAAAAGCAGAAAAGAAGAGCUAGGAAAUGAGAAAGGGAAAGAAGGGGGGAAACCACAUAGAGAAUUUAAAGAAAAUUAUAAGAAUGAGAGUAGGGAGAAAUUGGAAGUGAAUACCGGUCAAAAAGAAAUAAAAUGGGGAAAUGAAAACCAAGGCCAACUGGGAAGACAGGAAAGGCAGAAAAACUCUGGGGAGGAACAGGAAGAUUGGUCAAAAGCAGAUGGAGCCACUCAUAGAGAAAAAGAAAUCAGGGAAGCAGUGGCAGCACAAGCCUGGGAAAAAGAGUUAUGUCAAGAAGGCUCUGGAGAUGGAUUCCAGAAAUGGCCAGUAGACAUCAGUGAAAGGCAAAGAAGGAAAACACAGGAAGAGAAAGUAUUGAGGGAGGAAACUCUGAAAGGAGAACGUGGACAGAAAAGCCUCCCCAUACAACCUCAGGAACUAUUGAUCAGAAGUGGAGAAAACCAGCAAGAGAAUGACAGCCUGAGUGAAGAGGUACUGACUGCCUGGGGAAGUGAGAAUAAGGAAGAAGCCCAUUCAGCUUCACAUUUAUGUGAGUUGGUGAAUGUGACAGAGGAGCUGACCCAUGCAGAUGUGGUAGGCCCAGGGAAUGGUCUGAACAAUGAAGGUACCCAAAUGGAAGUGAGCCAGCGAUGGAUGAGGUUGUCAAGGUCAAGGAAGGAGAUUUUGCCAUGGGAACUCCAGGAGUCAAUAUGCAUAGCUGCUUGGGCCCCUUUAGAUUUGCCCUCCUUGGUGAUGGAAUGCCAUCUAGUGCCCAAGCAGAAGCUCUUCUGGAAGGUGCUAUUGAUCCUGCCAGGCUAUGACACUUGCUUUGCCCGUAGUCCAACAAGAGUGUUAAUGGAUUGGUUAAAAGUCAAAUUCAUGGGAAUCAAAGAUCCUCCACAGAAUGGAGCGAGCUGGUCUAAUGACAAAGUGGAGACUCUAUGCACCCUGAAAUCCCAAAGGCAGAAAUGGAAUCUGGCUGUGGAUAUUAACAUCUGCGUUAAGGUUAUGCAUGGAGUCUGUACCAAGGAACAGCUUCACAAGGCUCAGACCCAGGGCAGUCUCUUGGCCCUCAGUGGUCUCAUACUCCUCUUGCCAACAAGGAGAAGAGGAAUUGGCCAAGACGGUUACUGGCAUUUGGCCCGCCUGCGAUUGUCCCAACUGCUGAGGGCAAAACCAUCCCAACCCUUGGUGCCUUUGGUGAUUCUUGUCCCUACUGACAGGGAGACCCUUGGGGAAGAGGAAGCCAAGGCUGGUCUGAGACUCAGAGACUUGAUUACCAGUCGGGUCAUUUCCUACUUCUCCAUUUUCAGGAUUCCCUGCUACAUUCAAGACUUGGAAGGGUCUAACCAGGUACAGGAGGCAGUGAGAUGGCUGGUUUGCUACUCACCACCAGUGGCUGAACUCUGCUGUGAAACCUUCACUCACUUCAUCGAGAAGGGCAUCAACUGUGAAUUUAGAGAGAGGCUUUCCAGGGACCAGAAGGACAGGCAGCUGGCUGGCUUGCCCUCCCAGGAACCGGCUUUGAUCCUGGAAUUGUACAACAGUGUGAUUCAGUUCCUUGCAGGGGUCAUGUCUGCCAAGCAGCUGUGUGGCCCAUCGGGGCUAGCCCCAGAGUUUUUCCAGUUAAACGACCCAAGAUGCCUUCAACCUCAGGGGAGCAUGCCCGAAUACCUGGAGUGGCUCAGGACCAUCACUCUAUCCCUCCAGCUCCCCCCAAUAGUCUUGCCCCAGAAGACCAAUUGGCAGUGCACGUGCUCCUCCAUCCUCAAGUACGUCUAUCACCUCUUCGGAUCUCAUGCCAGCUACCCCCUGCUUCAGUGCCAGGUGGAACAUUUACUGAGCCAGGCCUACUGCCACUGGUGGACCAAGGACUCUGGAGAGCAGGAGGAGCCUUCUGGGACUGAGGUGCCAUGGGAUGUGAUCAUCUGUCUCUGUGUCCAGCAGUUAUUGCAGAACUGGAGCCCUCCCAGGCAGCCAGGAACCCCAGAAGCCAUAGACCAGCAGGGGAGAGAAAUCCAGGUGUGCUACUUCAAAGACAGUCUGCGAGAGUAUUGCCUCCCGAGCUCCUGGGAGAAUCCUCGGCUGAAGACCAGGAACGAGAUGCUAUAGCCAGAGAAAGAAGAGACUUUGGAAGACUCCAAAUGGACUCAGGCAAUGAUUGUGCCCUCCUCAGCACCAGCAUUUAAGAUGGGAGAAUCCAAAAAUAAACUCUAUUUUAAACCGCUAAUGGAAGAGAUAGAGAAUCCUUCUGGGGCAAUGCAGCACAUUGAGAAGGAACCUGGUGCAGAGGGAACUCUGGUCCUGGGUUUGAAGCUCAGUGCUGCUGUCUCCACUGGGCAAAUCACUGCCCCCCUUUGGGCCUCAGUUUCCUCACAUAAACUGAAGGGUUUGGCCUAGAGAAUCUUUAAUGUUCCUCCCUCUUUUCUGGGUGCCUCUGACCCCAGGGAUCCAUUUUUUCUACUGGUUUAUAGGAAGUUCCCAAACUGUGAAGAUUACCAUUUGUAUUCAUUGUAAUAUUAGAAACUGGGUAGCUCCCUAUCCUCAGUGGAGAGAGGGCUGCUUCAAGGCGAGGAUUCCAUGCUAGAGAAGGGUCAGUCAAGCCAACAGGUGUGGAAUGCCCUUCCGCCAUCUUCUUUUUCUAUCAGUAUUGGGCUACAUUAAGGUCUCAGAGUUGGACCCAAUGAUUUCUCUCACCUGGGGGAGCAGGGUUGUUAUGAAGACAGAAAGUAAGGGGUAAAGAAAAAGAAUGAGGAGAGAGCAACGCGUUGUAGUGGUGGCUGUGGAUGAAAACAGUCCAGCAGAUGACUGACUUCGCCUGAGAAGCCUAGUGAUGGUAGUGCUGUCAAAGGCUUGAUGAGGGGAGCCAGGUCCUUUGAGGAGAGAGGAUCUAUUUCUACUUCUUCCAUCUCCACAAAACAAGCAACCACCAUGGAGCAAGCAGAGCCCUCCCCACGAGGAAGGGAUGAACUAGAGCUCCAGGGUGGCUCCAGCCAUGCCAGAAAUGGUGGAAGAAUCAGUAAGGCCCGAGAGAACCAUGGCUGGCUUUGAUAAACAGAGGAUCCAGCAUGUCGAGGAAGCAAACUUCAAAUAAGCAAUACCAAGAAAUAGUCCAUACUGCUUUUCUUGUCCAUUCAGCUGCCCAACAAGAGUCACAUCCUGCUAUUAAAUCACUGCUCCAAAGAGGGUUGGCUACCUUCAGGAUCAUCUUGGCCUUGGAUUGAAGAGUCUUGCCUGGCCAGCCAGAAAGUCUAGACUUGAGGAGUUUGUCAAAUGGGAAAAACAAAUCAAAUGAGAACUGUCUCUUUGGCAGGCCCACAAGAUGGACUUUUAUCUCUCAGAAGAAUCCAAUGGAUCUGAUGAGUUCUUGUUUGAUAUUUUCAAUGUUUGUUAAUGAGCAGGCCGAGUCUUUUGUGUUUAAACAUAUCUCUUGUGAUAGAGAAAUAAGUAGCUGUCCUAUACCUGAUAACCAAUUUGUACAAUGAAUAAUUUUCUAGAUGUUUCUUUUAAGAGAGACCAAAACCAUGAACUGUACCCAAGCUUUGUUGCAAUGACUUUCCACAAAACUCAAGGGAAGGGGGUUGCAGUGACACACAGUGUGAAGAACAGUCUGAUCCCCAUCUCCUCACCCCUAGGAUUCAUCUGGGAUGUGGAUUAUUUCAGGACCAGAGCCACUUUUCAUCCCAUGAAGAAAGGGAGGGUUCUGAUAGCAACUGCUUCUGGGUCCCUGGAGAUAACUGCAAUUGAAGGCUGGCUUCCUUCCUUCCUUCCUUCCUUCCUUCCUUCCUUCCUUCCUUCCUUCCUUCCUUCCUUCCUUCCUUCCUUCCUUCCUUCCUUCCUUCCUUCCUUCCUUCCUUCCUUCCUUCCUUCCUUCCUUCCUUCCUUCCUUCCUUCCUUCCUUCCUUCCUUCCUUCCUUCCUUUCUCCCUUUCUCUCUUCUCUCUUUCUCUCUUUCUCUCUCUCUUCCUUUCUUCCUUUCUUCCUUCUCCUUCUCCUUUCUUCUUUCUUCUUUCUCCUCCUUGUCCUCGUCCUCGUCCUCCUCCUCUUUCUCGUUCUUCUUCUUGUUCUUCUUCUUGUUCUUCUUUCUUCUCCCCCUUACCUUUCAUCUUGGAAUCAAUAUUGUGUAUUGCUUUCAAGGCAGAAGAGUGGUAAGGGCUAGGCAAUGGGGGUUAAGUGACUUGCCCAGGAUCACAUAGCUGGGAAGUGUUUGAGGCCAGAUUUGAACCUAGGACCUCCCAUCUCUAUGUUUGGAUAUCAAUCCACUGAGCUACCCAACUGCCCCCCCCCCCAGAGUAUUUCUUCUAAACCACAUAGGCAGCAUGGUAUGGCAUCCAAGUAAACAAAUGUGAUCUUAGAUUCUCUUCAGAGACACCAAGUCAGGAAUAAGGAGGUGAAAGUUCUUUGGCACUCUGACCCAGUCCAAGUCCAUCUGAUGGGUUGUGCCCAGUUCUGGGUACCACAUUUGAGAAAACUUUGACAAAAUGGGGCAAGUUCAGAGGGUGGCAACCAGGACAGGUGUCAUAAUAGGCUCUUAAAUGUGUCAUGAGGGUAAGUUGAAGGAACUGGGAGUUGUUUAGUCUGGAAAAGAGAAGACUCAGAGUGGGAAAAGAGGAAGGGGUGUGGUAACUGUUUAUGGGAGGGAUCAGGCAUGUUCUGCAAGGCCCCCUAUGACAAAACUAAGAGGAGUGAGUGGCAAUCACAUAGAAUUUACUGAGGUAAGCUAUCAGGCUCUGUGUAAGGAGAAUCAUCCCAAUAAUCAGUUAUUAGAAAGGAAAAUGAGAGAUGGAAGUAUCCCCUCCUUGAAAGCCUUCAAAGACUAGAUGACCAAUUUAUGAGAAUGUAAGGCAAUUUCCAAUGACAUUGGGCAGAGUCUGGGGCCAAGAGAGAGCCCACGGCACUUCCAUAUUCUAGCUUUGACUGGACAUUCUUCCUCUACUGGAUCAGAGGUUCUUUGUCUUUUGGGGAUUCUUUUUGGAUCUCUUGGGUAGUCUGGUGAAGCCUAUGGACUUCUCAAAAAUAACUAAAUAUAUACAAUGUGUAGGAAUGUAAAGAAAAUUGAUGAUAUUAAAUACGAGUUAUCAAA